rnacentral:rRNA from 1 species
CCUACGGGCGGCUGCAGUGGGGAAUAUUGCACAAUGGGCGCAAGCCUGAUGCAGCCAUGCCGCGUAUGUGAAGAAGGCCUUCGGGUUGUAAAGCACUUUCAGCGGGGAGGAAGGCGGUGAGGUUAAUAACCUCAUCGAUUGACGUUACCCGCAGAAGAAGCACCGGCUAACUCCGUGCCAGCAGCCGCGGUAAUACGGAGGGUGCAAGCGUUAAUCGGAAUUACUGGGCGUAAAGCGCACGCAGGCGGUCUGUCAAGUCGGAUGUGAAAUCCCCGGGCUCAACCUGGGAACUGCAUUCGAAACUGGCAGGCUAGAGUCUUGUAGAGGGGGGUAGAAUUCCAGGUGUAGCGGUGAAAUGCGUAGAGAUCUGGAGGAAUACCGGUGGCGAAGGCGGCCCCCUGGACAAAGACUGACGCUCAGGUGCGAAAGCGUGGGGAGCAAACAGGAUUAGAUACCCCUGUAGUC